GUCUCUCACAGUCUGGGACAAAGAGGCCAUGAUUAGAAUUGUGGUGGAACAGGAAUUGGGAAAACACCAGAAUCAAAUCUUCAUGAAUUUUUAGUAGAAAGGCUGCAGGAGUGAGGACCACUAGAUUACUGAAAGAGCAGAAUGUAUGGUCUGUCCCCAGUCCUGAGUCUGAUUUGAAGAUCUGAGUGGCAGAAGCUAAUUUUAAAGGAUCAAC